rnacentral:lncRNA from 1 species
UCUAUAUAUUAUAUUAACUAUUAAAUGAAUUGUAUGUAAAAUGCGCAUAUGUUGCUAGUUACUCAUUACUUGUUAAUAGCUACAAAUACAUCCAUGUGAUGUUAUGUUGUGAUCCAUAAUGAAAUGUAUUUCAUAACUAUGAUUGUGUGCUUAUGAACUAUGUAAUUGCGAUCUAUGAUUUGUGUUUGUGAUGCCCUUUUCUACUCUGGCGUGCACCUAGGAUAAAACAAUGAGUUAAGCAAAGUAUAUAAGGGAUUGAACGAGCCCUUCUCAAUGAGAGCAUAAACCACAUUCCUCACCCAGUGUUUGAAAUAGUGUUAUAAAAUGAGUCAAAGUUGUCUUAUGUGUAAAUAAUCAAGUGUUACAUUGUGAGGAAUAAAAAGUACAUAUAUGUUGGGAAAAUGUCAAGGAAAAAGAGAAACAUAUAAAUGAUUAAAUGUGUCAAUGUGAAAAGUGUAUCAUGCAUUAUAAUAUAAUAUGCAUAAGAGAUCAUAAAUAAACCCUUGAAAUGAGUUGUGUGUGAAUUACUAAUGUCUAUAUGUUAUUAACUAGAUGUGUAUUUAUACUCAAACUCUUGUAUUUAAUAUGUUUUUCGGAUUAAAAUUUGGGGUGUCAUGAUAAAAAUCCGUUUUAAAAGUUAUUGAUAUUAGAGUCGUUACUAAUUUACAUGUAUUUUGAAGGACUAAUAUUCAACACAUAAUAAUUUUUUUUGUAAAUAUUUAUUUUUAGGACUUAAUGUAUUGAUUCCUCACAAUAUUAAAUUUAUGCAAAUAAUGAAGAACAACUCACCAAUAUGGGUUACAAUCUUUUUGUGCUACAUAUAAAAUUUGGCAAUACAUGUUCUAUGGUUUAAUUUGUUCUACCUCAAUGACUUUCUCGACCAUUGUUCUAUAUUCAAAUCUCAUCCGAUUUUCAUGAUUCUUGUUGCAAUUGAAUCACAUGCUAACCUAUUACCACAUGGAGUGGAUUGAUCUCCUCUCCAAUCAAAGCAUUCCCAUCUGAAAUUCUGGUACACAGUAGACAAGUGUUGUCCACGAUGUU